rnacentral:rRNA from 1 species
UACGUAGGGGGCGAGCGUUGUCCGGAAUCACUGGGCGUAAAGGGCGCGUAGGCGGCCCGCUAAGUCCCCUGUGAAAGACCGGGGCUCAACCCCGGGGUGUCAGGGGAGACUGGGGGGCUUAUGGGUGCCGGAGGGGAGCAGGGAAUCCCUGGUGUAGCGGUGGAAUGCGUAGAGAUCAGGGGGAACACCGAUGGCGAAGGCACUGCUCUGGCCGGAGACCGACGCUGAGGCGCGAAAGCUGGGGGAGCGAACGGG